GCUGAGCACGGUGGUGCGUGCCUGUAAUCCCAGCUACUUGGGAGGCUGAGGCAGGAGAUUCAUUUGAACCUAGGGGGUAGAGGUUGCAGUGCGCUGAGAUUGUGCCACUGUACUCCUUCCUAGGUAACAGAGUGAGACUCUGGCUCAA
rnacentral:SRP_RNA from 1 species